rnacentral:rRNA from 1 species
ACGCACGCUGGCGGCGUGCUUAACACCUGCAAGUCGAACGGAAAGGCCCUGCUUUUGUGGGGUGCUCGAGUGGCGAACGGGUGAGUAACACGUGAGUAACCUGCCCUUGACUUUGGGAUAACUUCAGGAAACUGGGGCUAAUACCGGAUAGGAGCUCCUGCUGCAUGGUGGGGGUUGGAAAGUUUCGGCGGUUGGGGAUGGACUCGCGGCUUAUCAGCUUGUUGGUGGGGUAGUGGCUUACCAAGGCUUUGACGGGUAGCCGGCCUGAGAGGGUGACCGGCGACGUUGGGACUAAGAUACGGCCGAGACUACUAUGGGAGGCAGCAGUGGGGAAUAUUGCACAGUGGGCGGAGGCCUGAUGCAGCAACGCCGCGGGCGGGAUGACGGCCUUGGGGUUGUAAACCGCUUUCGCCUGUGACGAAGCGUGAGUGACGGUAAUGGGUAAAGAAGCACCGGCUAACUACGUG